CCUACGGGGGGCAGCAGUGAGGAAUAUUGGUCAAUGGUCGGGAGACUGAACCAGCCAAGCCGCGUGAGGGAUGAAGGUACAGAGUAUCGUAAACCUCUUUUGUCAGGGAACAAAGGCGGGGACGUGUCCCCGGAUGAGUGUACCUGAAGAAAAAGCAUCGGCUAACUCCGUGCCAGCAGCCGCGGUAAUACGGAGGAUGCGAGCGUUAAUCGGAAUUACUGGGCGUAAAGGGUGUGCAGGCGGGUUUGCAA
rnacentral:rRNA from 1 species